rnacentral:rRNA from 1 species
CAUAGGUUAAUGAGGCGAACCGGGGGAACUGAAACAUCUAAGUACCCCGAGGAAAAGAAAUCAACCGAGAUUCCCCCAGUAGCGGCGAGCGAACGGGGAGGAGCCCAGAGCCUGAAUCAGUGUGUGUGUUAGUGGAAGCGUCUGGAAAGGCGCGCGAUACAGGGUGACAGCCCCGUACACAAAAAUGCACAUGCUGUGAGCUCGAUGAGUAGGGCGGGACACGUGGUAUCCUGUCUGAAUAUGGGGGGACCAUCCUCCAAGGCUAAAUACUCCUGACUGACCGAUAGUGAACCAGUACCGUGAGGGAAAGGCGAAAAGAACCCCGGCGAGGGGAGUGAAAAAGAACCUGAAACCGUGUACGUACAAGCAGUGGGAGCACAGAGCAAUCUGUGUGACUGCGU